UACGAAGGGUGCAAGCGUUACUCGGAAUUACUGGGCGUAAAGCGUGCGUAGGUGGUUUUUUAAGUCCGUUGUGAAAGCCCUGGGCUCAACCUGGGAAUGGCAGUGGAUACUGGAAAGCUAGAGUGCGGUAGAGGGUAGUGGAAUUCCCGGUGUAGCAGUGAAAUGCGUAGAGCUCCGGAGGAACACCAGUGGCGAAGGCGGCUGGCUGGGCCGACCCUGACGCUGAGGCGCGAAAGCGUGGGGAGCGA
rnacentral:rRNA from 1 species